UACGUAGGGUGCAAGCGUUGUCCGGAAUUAUUGGGCGUAAAGAGCUCGUAGGCGGUCUGUCGCGUCGGCUGUGAAAACCCGGAGCUCAACUCCGGGCCUGCAGUCGAUACGGGCAGACUGGAGUUCGGCAGGGGAGACUGGAAUUCCUGGUGUAGCGGUGAAGUGCGCAGAUAUCAGGAGGAACACCGGUGGCGAAGGCGGGUCUCUGGGCCGAUACUGACGCUGAGGAGCGAAAGCGUGGGGAGCGAACAGG
rnacentral:rRNA from 1 species